GAUUGAACGCUGGCGGCAGGCCUAACACAUGCAAGUCGAGCGGAUGAAGGGAGCUUGCUCCUGGAUUCAGCGGCGGCCGGGUGAGUAAUGCCUAGGAAUCUGCCUGGUAGUGGGGGAUAACGUCCGGAAACGGGCGCUAAUACCGCAUACGUCCUGAGGGAGAAAGUGGGGGAUCUUCGGACCUCACGCUAUCAGAUGAGCCUAGGUCGGAUUAGCUAGUUGGUGGGGUAAAGGCCUACCAAGGCGACGAUCCGUAACUGGUCUGAGAGGAUGAUCAGUCACACUGGAACUGAGACACGGUCCAGACUCCUACGGGAGGCAGCAGUGGGGAAUAUUGGACAAUGGGCGAAAGCCUGAUCCAGCCAUGCCGCGUGUGUGAAGAAGGUCUUCGGAUUGUAAAGCACUUUAAGUUGGGAGGAAGGGCAGUAAGUUAAUACCUUGCUGUUUUGACGUUACCAACAGAAUAAGCACCGGCUAACUUCGUG
rnacentral:rRNA from 1 species